rnacentral:rRNA from 1 species
UGCAGUCUUUUGAGGUUGCAAUACUUAGUGGCAGACGGGUGAGUAACAUGUAGGUAUCUACCCUUUGGCCUGGAAUAACACGAGGAAACUUGUGCUAAUACCGGAUAAGUCUUAACGGAGAAAGCUUUAUGCACCAUUGGAUGAGCCUGCACUUGAUUAGUUUGUUGGUGGGGUAAUGGCCCACCAAGACUGUGAUCAAUAGCUGAUUUGAGAGGAUGAUCAGCCACAUUGGGACUGAGACACGGCCCAAACUCCUACGGGAGGCAGCAGUGGGGAAUCUUGCACAAUGGAGGAAACUCUGAUGCAGCGAUGCCGCGUGAGUGAAGAAGGCCCUUGGGUUGUAAAGCUCUUUCGUCGGGGAAGAAAAUGACUGUACCCGAAUAAGAAGGUCCGGCUAACUUCGUGCCAGCAGCCGCGGUAAUACGAAGGGACCUAGCGUAGUUCGGAAUUACUGGGCUUAAAGAGUUCGUAGGUGGUUGAAAAAGUUAGUGGUGAAAUCCCAGAGCUUAACUCUGGAACUGCCAUUAAAACUUUUCAGCUAGAGUAUGAUAGAGGAAAGCAGAAUUUCUAGUGUAGAGGUGAAAUUCGUAGAUAUUAGAAAGAAUACCAAUUGCGAAGGCAGCUCUCUGGAUCAUUACUGACACUGAGGAACGAAAGCAUGGGUAGCGAAGAGGAUUAGAUACCCUCGUAGUCCAUGCCGUAAACGAUGUGUGUUAGACGUUGGAAAUUUAUUUUCAGUGUCGCAGCGAAAGCGAUAAACACACCGCCUGGGGAGUACGACCGCAAGGUUAAAACUCAAAUGAAUUGACGGGGACCCGCACAAGUAGUGGAGCAUGUGGUUUAAUUCGAAGAUACGCGCAGAACCUUACCAACACUUGACAUGUUCGUCGCGACUCUAAGAGAUUAGAGUUUUCGGUUCGGCCGGACGAAACACAGG